AAACCAUUUUGACACAGUUUGACCCUUGAAGAUGUUUGAUAUGUUUCCUGUGAUGUGAUUUCAUUAAGGACAAACUGCAAACAGAAUGGCUUUUCAGAUCACUUACUCCAGGACUUGAAGCUUAAGAAAACAUAACCAAAUUGACUCCAAGUUCCUACUUCCAUACCCUGUCUGACAGCUAUUUAUCUGCAGUAUUUAGGAACUAUUUCUCCUUUCAGCCUGCAUCCAUUUUACAGAGAACAUUUCUGACCCUCCUCAUGAGGGCUGGAAGCCACAAAAUGCCCCAAGAAUCCAUCGUGGUGCUGCACCUGGUGUCAGGGAAGUGGGAUGAAAUAAAUUCUUGCUUUCAAGGUCAGUGAAGGGUUUUCAAGUAGGCUUUAAGGAAACAGGAACAAGGACUUAACUCCCAGAUCAACGUUUUGACUCCUCUUGCCUAAUUUAUUUCCUGAAGUGAAAUGGUACAAAGAUGUGCCUGCAACUGAGGUUUGUGUUCAUGUGGAUGGAUGUAUACCUGACCUAAACAGAACAAUCCUGUGUGCUGGUUGACCUACAGGGCAGUAUUUUUGACAGCCUCUGUGCACAGUUGCAUACCCACACCCACCCC